CCAUUUCACAAUAGAGAAAUUAAACCAAAACAAUAGUAGAAAUGUAGAAAAAGGCUUAAUUCAUUCAAGAAUUGCCUCAAACACCUAAAGAGCAAAGUCGGUAGACUAAUUGAACUUUCUGUGCAACAAAGGCCUAGCAUGCCAUCAAAGAGGAACACAAGAUAAGAAGAAGAAAAAUCACAAGCAACAACAAUCAAAAGGGGAAAAUCACAAAAGUACAAAGAUAGAUCAGGAAGACUCUCUUCUUACUAAAGGGCAAAUGUAAUUAGCAAAAUAAAACCAGUGAAACCUUUUUACCAAUUUGGUAACGGCGGGGAAAAUCAAAAUAGUAUACAAAAAGCCAUUGAUGAAACAAAUAAUCCUAUAAACUAAUUACCUUGAAAUAAAUUGGAAAUUCAAAAUAAGCUUCUGAAAGUAGCAAACACUAUAACCUCUGAUUAGUAAAGGUUGUGUUCUUCAAAGAAACCCGACAGGAAAACGAAAAACAGAUAGAGGGUGAAGCUUUUCUAAUAGCGGUGAUACUGAGUUUGCAAUAAGGGUGUUAACCUAUUGAUAAAGAGAACCUGCAUCUGCCAAGUUUCUAAAAAC
rnacentral:lncRNA from 1 species